rnacentral:lncRNA from 1 species
CAAUCUUCCGCGUUCGUAGUUGCGUUGUCGAGAAAAUUCUGGAUUCCGCGUCUGGAUCUGCUUCCACGUCUGCUCUAUCGCGAUUUUGGAUUUCGCGUCUGCGUCCGGUGACGCGAUCUGCAUUUUGGAUUUUGCGUAUCGGUCACGCGUUUGCGUAUUUUGAAUCUGCAGUUGUUCACACAUUUGCAGCUGUUCACGCAUUUACAGUUGUUCACAAUUUUGGAUCUGCAUUUGCGUUCAUAUUGCAGUUGAUUGCUGCAUUUGGGAUUGAUUCCUGCAUUUGGGAUUACUCGUCAUCAUAUUGCGAUCUGCAGAUUUCCGAGUUCUUGCAAUCUGCGUCGUCUUGAUUUCUCGCCGAUCAUUCAAAUCUGUAAGUUUUUUUUCUUUUUUUUCUUGAAAUUAAAUCUGUGAUUGCUUGUGUGAUUUCUCGCCGCAUGUGGACUUGCUUUGUGUGAUUAGUUUUGUCAAGUUUAAUAAUAAUACUCUUUUUCAUUUUCAAGAUAGAACUUUUGAAAUGAUUUUGGUUUAAUUAUUUUCUUUUCAUACAAGUUUGUUUUCUGGCUUGUUGGAGGUAUUACUUAUUUUUCUAAAACAUUAUUCUCAAUGUUUUGGUUUGAAGUGAAUUUUGUCUAUCUUGAGUUAAUUCUCUAUUGAUUAAUAUCCUCCCCUGGGUCAGUAUCUUGUCUGUCCAGAAUAUAUAUCCUGUCCAAAAUCAGCUUGCUAGUUUUGGUUGAUGAUAUUCAGUUGUGUAUCUGAAUAUAACUGUUGUUCAUUUACUUCAUUAUCAUAUAUUUGUGUUCUAUUUUUAUGCUUGUAUAAGGAAUUGCUUUCAUCAGUCUGAGUAUUCUCAGCUCUCACAGAUGUUUCCUGAUUUUGAUCUGCGUUGUCCUUAUUUGAGAAAGAUCUUCCAUCAGACUGAACAUCCUCAGCUAUCUCUAAUGGAUGAUUCCUAGAUGGACCUGAUUUGUCUUGUUUAGAAAUAAAUAACUGAACUUUUAUGUUUUGAUUAUAUUCUGAUUUUUCUCCAGUUUGUACUGAAUUGUUUUUAUUUUUUGAACUGGAAUUGUUAUUCUCAGUCUGAAUAUGCAUAUAUAUAAUCUCCCAUUGUAUUGAUCAGGUAUGAUUGAUCUUCUAAGAUCAGAAUCUGAAUUUGUUAAUUUUCCAAAAUUUUGGAAGGUUUUGCUUUUGAGAGACCACACUUCUCUAGGAUACCUAAGGCAUACUUCCUUUGUGAGAGAUAUAUUCCUUUGUUGGAAUAUGAAACUUCAAUACCUAAGAAGUAAUUUAAUCUCCCUAAAUCUUUUAGUUUGAAUUGAUUUUCUAAUUGGAUUUUAAUUAUUCCAAUUUCUAAUUCAUUACUUUCUAUAAUUAUUAUAUCAUCUAUAUAAACUAUGAGAUAUAAACUAUGAAGCUUGAGUGAAGCCAAUCUCUAAGAUUACUCCUCUUAGUUUCUCAAACCAGUUCCUUGAGGCUUGUUUUAAGCCAUAUAAGGAUUUAUUGAGUUUACAUACUCUUUUAUCUCCUUUUUUUAGAAGGCCUCGUGAUGGUUAAUUUUAAGUAUACUUCUUCAUGCAAUUCUUCAUGAAGAAAAACAUUAUUAACAUCUAAUUGGUAUAAAUUCUAUCCUUUCAUGGAUGUUAUGGCUAUGAUAUUUUUUAUAGUUACCAUCUUGACCACUGGUGCAAAGGUUUUAAAAAAAUCAAAACUUUUUUUUUGUGUGAAUCCUUUAGCCACUAGCCUUGUUUUAUGCCUUUCUAUUUGACCAUUUGGCUUAUACUUAAUUUUAUAUAUCAAUUUAGAUCCUAUAGACUUCCUAUCGAUCUUUUGGAAGAUUAACCAAUGUCCAUGUAUUGUUUUCUAAAAGAGCAUUCAUCUCUUUUUGCAUUGCUUCAACCCAAUUUGGGUCUUUUGAAACUAUGAGAAGGAUAAAGAAUUAAGAAUUAGUUUAAACUGUUGUUAGUUGAGUUAGUUAGUUAACUGAUUAUUAGUAUUGGGUUGUAGUAUAUAAGUAGAGGAUAUUAUUGAUAAUUGAUUGAAGGAUGUUGGAUCAUCAUGAAUAGUUAUUUGUUUUAGGUAAUGUUUUUGUUGUUUAUUUAUCUUAUGAUAGGAUAUAUGAUUACUCAUGGGAUAUUUUGACUCAUGAUAAUCCUUGAUAUGCUUCUUACCAGAGGAAGGGAGACUAGAGCUUCUCGGAUCUCUUACAAUUGAAAUGAAUUAUAAUACUUAAGAUUGAUUUUCUUUAUUCUAUACUAACAUGACUUAAUAUAGCCUUACAAAUACUAACAAAUCUGAAAACAAAUCAUAAAUUGCUAAAUCAACAUGCAUGGAAAGAAAUAAUAAACGUGGAUGUAAAUCAGAAAAUAAAUAAUUUAAUGUUAAAUACAAUAUUAAAUGCAAUGUAGAGGAUCGAACGUAUCAAUCCCCUCUCCCUCGGAAGACAGUCCGUCCUCGGAUUUCUAAGAACUCCACGAUGUUUACUCCGACCGCGUUCAAACUCCACCUCCUGAUCAGGGUGUUUACUACACACUCUACAUCAGCCACCGGUUGUUUGCCUUUGACCUGCAAAAGGAGUUCUUGGAGAGAUGCUUGGAGCUUUGCCGUCUCUUCGCGGGAAGCAGCGAUCUCAAUCGCCUGGAGUUGGAAUGAUUCGUCGACGUUCUUCUUAAAGUCGUCAAUGUUGUUCAUACCAGCACGAGAGCUACCUCGUCCUACCAUAGAGAGAGAGAGAACGGUGAUUCCCUUUGAUACGCUUCGUACCAGGGGAGGGGAGACCAGAGCUUCUCAGAUCUAUCUCAUUGAAAGCACCAAUUGAUACGCUUCGUACCAGGGAAAGGGAGACCAGAGCUUCUCGGAUCUCUUACAAUUGAAAGAAAUUAUAAUACUCAAGAUUGAUUUCCUUUAUUCCAUACUAACAUGGCUUAAUAUAGCCUUAUAAAAACUAACAAAUCUGGAAACAAAUCAUAAAUUGCUAAAUCAACAUGCAUGGAAAGAAAUAAUAAACGUGGAUGAAAAUCAGGAAAUAAAUAAUUUAAUGUUAAAUACAAUAUUAAAUGCAAUGUAGAGGAUCAAACAUAUCAAUCCUUGUCAUUCUCAAGAUAAUAUUCUUGAAGUUGUGUAAGUUUCACUAAUUUCCUCCCAUGUAAGCUUGUUUUUUGUUUAUUUGGAGGUACUGAAAUCUGUUUUUCUAGAACCCUCUGGUUACUGUCUAUUCUAGUAUCUGAAUUAUUUUCUAUUUGAUAGUUAUCUAAUUGAUUUUGAUCAGUUUCAGCAUACUUAUUUGGCUAUCUGAACCAACUUGUUGCUGAUUUGUUCUUGAUUCUGUUUGUAUAUUAUUUGUGUUUUGAGAACUGUUGUUAUUAUCUUCAUUUGUUAUUAUAUUUUGGUGUUUUUCAUUACAAAACUCCAAUGAAUUUUGUGUGUUUGAACAAGAUUUAUGCUGAUUAUUUUCAACCAUAUCUGAAUACUCUUGACACAUUGUGUUUACUAUAUUUUGUUGUUUUUCAGCAUAAAAAUCCACUGAAUUUUGUGUGUUUGAAUAGGAUUUGUGCUGAUUAUUUUCAGCCAUAUCUGAGUACUCUUGACUCAUUGUGUUUUGGGUAUUUAACUGAAAAUUUUCAUCAAUUUGAGCAUCUUUGGAUGCUUGUGGUGUUUACUCAUUUGUUUGACCUGUUUUGUGUUUUUCAACACUGUCUAAACCUCUGUAAUUUCUUUUAUUACAGUGUUCAGACCCAACAGGUUGCCCUGGGUCACUUAUAUUUUCAUAUAUAGGAUUUUCUUCAAUGCCUGUCUGCAUUCUACUUUUAUUCAGAUCAGGUAUGAUUGAUCUUAUCUCAUUAGAAUUUAAUAUAUUGUUUUCUUUAGAUAUAAAAGUUUCUAAUUUUUUAUUUUUUGUAGAAUUAUUUUCAGACCCUGAAGUGUCUUUGUUUUCUUUAAUUUUAUAAUCAUACAAUCUAAUUAUAGAAUUCUUGAAGUGACUUUGAGUUUUGGUUUUGAGGGUUUUUAUCCUCAAUUUUAUUAUUUUUAAAUGGGAAAAUAUUUUCCCUAAAAACUACAUUCCUGGAAAUAUGAAAUUUUUUACUUUCCAAGUCUAAUACCAAAUAUCCUUUUGUAUUAGAUGGAUAUCCCAUAAAAACUCUUCUAAAAGUUCUUGGUGAAAACUUAUAUUCUCUAAUAUUGGUUGAUGCAUAACACAAGCAACCAAAAGUCUUAAGGUUGUCAUAAUUUGGUGUUUGAUUGUUUAAAACUUCAUAUGGUGUUUUAUUUUCUAACACCUUUGAGAGAGUUCUAUUAAUUAUAUGAGUUACUGUCAAGAUACAUUCCUCCUAGUAAAUUAAUGGGAUUCCACCUUGAAUAUUAAUGCAGAGAUCUAGCUAUUUCAAGUAUGUGUAUAUGCUUUCUCUCUAUUAUACCAUUUUGUUGUGGUAUAUAUAGUGGUGUAUCCAGGAUUCCUUGACAGGGAGGGAGCCAAGAUUCGUCGAAGGCGGAAAAAAUUUUUUGUACUAAUUAAAGAACCUAUACAAAUUUUGGCAUGACCUAUUCAUAUAAUUGAUUAUAAAAACCUACAAAAAAUCAA